rnacentral:pre_miRNA from 1 species
GUUUUGAAUUAGCUGCUGACUCAUUCAUUCAAACACAAUAAGAAGAAGCAUGAUGAAUAUGCUAUAUUGUGAAUGUGUGAAUGAUGCGGGAGCUAAAUUUCAUCUUU